AUGGAAGAUAUUCGCAACCAUUCAGAUAGCAACAUAGAUGAAGCAGGACUUGUGGGGUUUUCCAAGCCCAAACAAGAGUUGAUAAAGCUUAUAGAUGUUCAUGCCAAAAAUGGUCCUGCUCAGGUAGUAUGUGUCGUCGGCAUGGGCGGUUUGGGUAAGACUACUCUUACAAGGAAGGUUUAUGAAAGUAUGGAGAACUUUUAUUGUUGUGCUUGGAUCAUUGUCUCGCAAUCAUUUGUCAGGAUGGAGCUUCUCAAGGUUAUGAUCAAAUUUUUUUUUGGCAAUGAAGCAUUGAAGAAGCAGCUUGAAGGUAAUGUAGUGCGAGAAGAAGACCUCGCCAACUAUCUGAGGAAAGAGCUGCUUGAGAAGAGGUACUUUGUUGUACUUGAUGAUUUGUGGAACAUAGAUGAUUGGAACUGGAUAAAAAAAAUUGCUCUUCCGAGUAGGAACCAAAAAGGUAGCCGGAUAAUUAUAACAACACGAGAUGUUGGUUUAGCUAAGAAGUGCUCAUUGAAAUCUUCUGUACCACUUAUCUACCACCAUCAACCCCUAGAAACCAAUGAUGCCAUACACUUGCUACUAAGGAAGACUCGGAGAAGUGAGGAGGACAUGAAAAAUGAUGUGAAAAUGAGGGAAAUAGUUACCAAGAUAGUCAAAAAGUCAGGACUGUUACCACUAGCUAUUCUCACAAUAGGAGGCAUGCUUGCCACUAGAGAGGUCAGUGAAUGGCAAAGUAUUUACGACCAGAUCCCCUUAGAACUAGAGAGCGGCCGAAGUCUUGACGCGAUGAGGAGGAUGGUUACUCUGAGUUACAACCACUUGCCUUCUCAUCUUAAGUCAUGUUUUCUGUAUUUAAGCAUAUUUCCUGAGGAUUUUGAAAUCCAAAGGAGUCGUCUCGUAGAAAGAUGGAUAGCCGAGGGGUUUGUUAUUGUCAGGGAUGGGCUAAGUGGUGAGGAGGUUGGGAAUAGUUACUUUAAUGAUCUAAUCAACCAAAGCAUGAUUCAGCCAUCAAGAGUGAACAUAGAAGGAGUUGUGAAGAGCUGUCGAGUCCAUGAUAUUGUGCGUGAUGUCAUGAUCUCAGUUUCUAGAGAUGAAAAUUUUGUGUAUGUGGAGGGAAAUAAUGUAACUGGUGCUACGGAAGAGACCUUCCGACAUGUAGCAUACCAUGGUAGCAUGUGCCAAAAGAUAGAUAUGGAUUGGAGCCACGUCCGAUCAGUAACUGUGUUUGGUGAGAGAUCAUUGAGGCCAUCACCUUCAGUUUGUUCACCAGACAUGAGAAUGCUCCGGGCCUUGGAUCUAGAGAAUGCACAGUUUCAAGUCACACAGAAGGAUAUCAGCAACAUAGGAUUGUUUCGCCACUUGAAGUAUCUGAAUUUUUCUGAUCCUCGAGGAUAUUCACAUAUUUAUAAACUUCCUAGAUCCAUAGGGAGAUUACAAGGCCUGCAAACUUUGAACAUUAGAGACAGUUAUAUUACAGAACUGCCAAUUGAGAUUUGUAAACUCAAGAGUCUACACAGUCUCUUUGUACCAGAAAUAAUUCCUAUCAAUGCUUUGACCUGGUGUAUGACCCCAAGGCAUGCUUGGUGCGAACACUUUGUCUGCCCAUGCUGUUCACACCUUUGGUUGAUCCUAGUGAGCGUACCAAGGUAG
rnacentral:rRNA from 1 species